UCUAAAAAUCAGAAUUUAACAAAUGCAAAAUUUAACCAAGAAAAUAAGGUGAACAUGCUUAGUGAAUCAACCUGUAUAAUAUUAUUUUCAAAAACCCUGAAUACCUUCUUUUUUUAACAUCUGUAAAUCGAAAUAGUUUCAGAAAAACCGGGAAAUCUUAAAGCGACCCGUAUAGGUUGAAAUCACAUCAUACUCGAAUGGGGCAUUCCGAGGAUAUUCAACGGCGUACUAAAAUCGUUCAUCGUAAAUGCCGAGGAAAUCGGAUCCAUAAACAGUUUUGAUUGCUGUGACAGUAAACCCGAUGUAGAAAUACAAAUAACGGAAACAAUUUCAACUUACAACCGUACGGUAAAUUCAUAAAAAAAAAAAAAAAAAAUACAAACUUCUACCAAUCCACUCAUAAUAAAUAACAAGAAGAAUUUGGAAUAUACUAUAUUAUGUCCAUUUGAAGUUCUUUGAAUUUUAACAAGCUAUUCAAUUUACAAUCUUAUCACUAUUUGAAUGUUAUGUAAAGAAAUUGUAUUUUUCAUUUUUACUUAAUAAUGCGUGUAGAGUUUCAAAUUUAUAAUAAUUAUAGUUUGAUAUAUAUGUAUAUAAAUUGCGAUAAAUCCAGGGUGUUGAACAUAACAAUAAAAAAAAAAAAAAUCAGAAAAUAUAGAUUUAAUCAUUUUCACCGUAUGGCACUGACAAUGAUAAUAAAUAAUAAUAAUAAUAACUUAAUUAGUCAACUGAAUUUCAAAUUUACUUUUCACUUUUUUCAUUUGACUCUUUAUUAAGUUAAUAUAUCUUUGGUCAAAAGUAAGAAGAUCUCAAGUUUAUAUCGUAUAGUUUUCAAUACAGUUCAAUUUUAAAAAUGCAUAAAAACAUGUCUUUCAGAUCGAAAAGAUUACAUAAAGACAAAAAAGGAGAGGGGGUGGUGUAAAAAAAAGUUGAGGACCAUAAAAAUUAUUAACUUGCCCGUCAGACUUGUUACCAUACCAUCGUACACACUACAGCAUAUUAUACAUAAUAAUUAAUGCAAAAUCGGAAUCGAUAUAAACUAAAAAUAGUAUUUCUCAAUAUACUUCUGCAGAUAUACGACUUGAAGUCGGGGUCUACCUAUUCGAUUAGAGUGCUGUCGCAGACUUUAUCCUGUGGACAAACCAAUAGGAUACACGUGAUGACAACUGAAUGACACUGGACACAGAUUUCCGGUCAUAUAUGAUCUGAUCGAUAUAAUAAUAUUAUUAGGAUCUGAAUUUAAUUUGUUAUAACUUAUAAGACAAAUAAAUCGAAUGCAAUAUAUUUGAUAAAAUAAAUUAUCUAUUUGCCAUCGUGCCUAUAUGUAUUCCUAUAAGUCCAUUAUACUAAUGCCAGUUUGAAUUCAAAAAUAUUAACUCGAUAUAAUAUUAUCUCUAUACAGCAAGUAGCUAGCUAAUAUAUUUCGGAAUAGAUCGAAAUUUGCGGUU